rnacentral:antisense_RNA from 1 species
UUAUCUUUUUCAUUCAUUGUUUUAUCUUCAGUGCCUAGAAGAGUGCUGGAUACAUUGUAGGUGCUCAAUAACUAUUUCUUGAAGAUUGAAUGUUUAUUUAAAUAAAGGGAUGAAGUCAAUCAACUUCCAAGAGGAACUAGGACCCCAACAACUACUAUGCGUUGCUCUCAGAUGGUGUGUAAGGCCACCCUUGCUGAUGAGGCUGCAGGCGUAAUGAGCUGAGCUGCUGCCUUCAGAAGAAGCCAGAGAAAAGAACCCCAAGACAUGAGACUAUCCAGGCUACAGCAACUCCAGCAGUCUCCUUACCUGGCAGAAAGGAGCACACUCUGCUACAAUGACAUGGAAUUUCCUCUUUCGGGCAGCCUCUUUGAGGAAGGCCUCUACUGUUCGGGAGAAGCCAAUGGUCAUGAUCACCUCAUUGGAGUGAAUGUGCUCCAGAGCCUGGGCUGCAAUGUUCUCCGUUGUCCCUUCUGUAAGAACGGUUUUGC